ACGCUGGCGGCGUGCCUACACAUGCAGUCGAGCGAGAAAGUCCCUUCGGGGGCGAGUAGAGCGGCGGACGGGUGAGUAAUACGUGGGUAAUCUGCCCUCGAGCCUGGGAUAACCCCGCGAAAGUGGGGCUAAUACCGGAUAAGACCACGUGACAUAUGUCGCGGGGUAGAAGGUGGCUUGUACUCGUACAUGCUAUCACUUGAGGAUGAGCCCAUGGCCUAUCAGCUUGUUGGUGAGGUAAGAGCUUACCAAGGCUAUGACGGGUAGCUGGUCUGAGAGGACGACCAGCCACACUGGGACUGAGACACGGCCCAGACUCCUACGGGAGGCAGCAGUGGGGAAUAUUGGGCAAUGGGCGAAAGCCUGACCCAGCGACGCCGCGUGGGUGAUGAAGGCCUUCGGGUUGUAAAGCCCUUUCGUGCGGAAAGGACAGCCCUGAGUUGAAUAUGCUCAGGGUUUGACGGUACCGCAGGAAGAAGCACCGGCUAACUCCGUGCCAGCAGCCGCGGUAAUACGGAGGGUGCAAGCGUUGUUCGGAAUUAUUGGGCGUAAAGGGCGCGCAGGCGGUUGUG
rnacentral:rRNA from 1 species